UCAUGAAGAUGAAUCUCCCUAAUUCCCUAAUAGCUUCUCAAAUGGAAGUUGCUUCGAUGGAGGGGAUGCUGAAGACAAAUUUCACCUGAUCUACAAUUUCCCUUAAGAUUUUUAAAAAGGGGGAAGGAGGAAGCAAUUCAGCAAAACCAGUGCUCACAUCAAUCAAGUCUGACAAUGACAUGCGGUGAAUAAGUAUCAAAGAUGAAGUGGAUUUGGUUUCAUGAGCUUCAGAAUGUUGGAAAUGCCAUCAAAGGUCCCCUAACUGAAUGGCAGUAGUAGCUGAAUUCAUGAGGAGGAAUCUCCUUGAUUCAGCCCAUUGUGAAUCAUCCUGGCAGCUAAGCUAUUGUUGGGAGAAACUUGUCCAUCAGCUAUGCUAUGCCCAGUUGGCACAGAGUGAACUUGAUGAGUACUUUGCAAAGGCAGAAAAGGAUUCCCAUUGGCAAGAGUUAUGCUUCAGUAAACUAUAUUCCCCAAAUGUAUGUUUCAAUAUUUUCUGCCUCAAGGGUGAGUGAAGGAGAGAGCACUACCCAAGUUUAGGAUGUGUGUAAUGUCUGAAACCAUUAUCUCUAGGUAUCAAGUAUCUAUAUAUGUGGAAUAGAGAGAUAAGGUGAAGAACUUACAGAAAUGUAUGAAUUCUUUUUCUGUAUUUUAUUUUCA